CCCUCCUAACUGCUUUUACUUUCUACGCAUUUCUAUUUCCUCCUUUAUUUAUUUAUUUGUGAUAAACUUAAAUGACCUGGCGACGGAGGCGGGACUCGAGGCGAGGCCGAGGAUGACGAGGGACGGCCGGGGGCCAAUUGCCGAGGGGGCUGCCGGGUGAGGGGCAGCGGCGGUGGCCAGUGAGAGGCAGGUGUCUGGAGCGCGUUAGGCCUAUGGAGUCGGGAUGCCCCAGCGGAGGCGGCGGUUACCCGCUGUCUGGCGCGGCGACCUGUCGCAGGGAGCCGCGGGAGGGGAGGGGAGGGUGUCGCUGUCGCUGACGGCUGAGGCGGCAGGAGGGAAGCUGGAUCCCGGGCGGUGGGAGGGAAAGCGGAAGACAGGGUCUGGCGAGGCGGCGGCGCUCAAGGCCACGCUGGGUCAGGUCAGGUUUGGUUCUUGUGGAGCGGGGUGCAGGUUGCCAAGCCAGGAGGUCGGCAGAGGCCGCUGAAGCAAUGCCAGUGCUCUACGGGAAAAUGCGUUCGUUCAGGAGGUUUAGAAAAAUGCUAUGUAAAGCAGUUUGGAGUAAGCCGCCGUUAAUAUAAAUGAGAAUAUUAUUCUAACGGGAGAAACAGAUUGUUUCAUACUACUAAACGCCUGAAGUACCAGCGACCCAACCCAAGCCCACAAAAUUCAAUAUCCUGAGGGCUAGAAGGAACAAAUAAAACAACACGGAAAAUUAAAUGCGGUUCAGAUGCUUCAAUAAAACCUCCAUCCUCAUCCAUUUGUCACUCAACCUAGCACUUCUCAGAGCCAAAUUCUUACCAAGUGUUGGUCCAGUACUCAGGCAUGGGGGAAAUAGACGAGGCUUAAAGCCGGCAGGAAGCUCAGGGAGGAUUCCUAAAAAGGAUUCCUUAAAAGGGCUAAGAGGGGAAGGAAGAAAAAAAAAUCGCUUUUCACUAUACACACACACACAAAAAAAAACCUGCCAAAAUUAAAAGUUGCAGUAUUGGGGGAACUCAGCAACAAUUUAUCACAAAAUAAGGGACUUUAUUAAAAAUACCAUGCAUACAAAUAAUAUACUGGAUUUGCAAUUUGAAAAUUUUUUUUAUAGGACAUGUAUUUGAUGUAUAGUUUCUAAUAGACUCAAGUCCUCUAAUUUUUAUCCUAGGCUUCCUUGGGACAUACAGCAUGCCUUAAAGAAAAAAUUUUUCAUGAAACUUGUUAAAGAUGGUUAGGCAGAUUUUAUUCAGGACCACUGAGGUAGGUAUAGAUAGGAUCAUUGCAAUUGAAUUUUGCAGCCCAAUUUGAGAGAUUGGGCUCAAUUUCAUAUUAAGAGUGGGCAAGUGGGAACUUUAGCCAAGGAAAAAAGGUGAGGGUCAGUGGAUGGAAAAUUGCUAAGAGGAAGCAUUAGGGGUAAGGGAGAUUUUGGCUAAACCAACCUAGCAGGAUUCUUGCUGAAGACAGGCCAGGGUGAUCAGACAUCACCUUGGGGAUGGUGGAAAAUGAGGAACCUGAUCAUAUAUCUAGGGUAAUGGGGGUUGGGGGGAGUUCUUGUUAAAGCUGUAUUUUGCAAGGAAGUGUACAAAUGCCUGGCUUUGAUUAGCGGUCUUUGGCAGAACCUAAGCAAAAUAAAUAGGCCCUGGUGGAAAAAAAUGUACAAGGCCUUGACCUCAUAAAUAACAUUAGAUCUACCUUCUGAAGAAUAUAUGUAUGAAGGUCUUAGAAUCCACAAAAUUAUUGCAUCAGGUGUCAAAUUUGAAGACCAGUGAAGUGUACAAAUUUCUAUUACAUCUGGAAGCCAAAACAUUUUAGAAUUUAUGUAUAAAUCUUAGCUACAACACGAUGUAGUAACCGUAGUUUAAGUAUUCCAUACAGAAUAAUCAGCUUCACAUGAGAAAGUUCAGUAAAACUUAACAAAGGUGUUUAAAUAGUUUAAUUCCACAACUUUAACGAGGUGUAAUAGCCACUCUCUAAGUACUACUUAAUACUCAUCCUUUUCAGCAAGUUUUUAAAGCAAUUUUCAGUAUAUGGGCAUGAGAGCUGUUAGGAUUAUAAUGAUAAGGCAUUAGGAAAGCAACAUAAAAUAUUCUAAUUCAAUAUUAGUGAUCAGGUGAGGCCUUGGAUGUUACUGCCCCUAUUUAAGAUGGUGGUUAUUUAUACCAGUUCCCGUGAUGUUAGAAUCUGGGGUUAAAAUGCUUCUGUCUAUAAGGAAUGCCUCAAUCUUUAUAUUUACAUUACACAUGCACAGACCUCAACCACCAGCCCACCCCCCCCAGAUAUACAAACAUUCCAAAAGAGGUAGCAAGAAUUCCAUAUAAUGUUAAAUAGUUUUCCUAUACACAAGCAAUGACAUAAAAUGUAAUGGAAAAAAAGAUCCCAUUUUACAACUGUGAAAAAUGCUAUAAAACAUUUUCAAUGGUAGCAGUGAAACACUGUGUGAUUUGUGUAGAUUAAACUGUAAAAUUGCUGUGGACGUCAACUAAGAUUUACAAAUGUCAAAUUGCAAGUGACAGAAACCCAGUUCAAACCACCUUCACUAAUUAAAAGAAAACCAUUGGCUUGUGGUACUGGAAUGAUAGGGCUGUAGUUGGUCUCAGGCACAACUAGAUCUGGGACUCAAGGAGGUCCCUGAGCCUUAUGCUGAACAUUUAUUUUUUUUAUCCUGUGCUUUUCUGGGGACUGUUCCUCCCAAAAUCCAGUCAUAUGAUUCAGAUAGAACUACCAAUUAUACUGCCCACCUCCUGUUAGCAGGUUGAACACACCAUCUAGUCCCUAUAGGACCUGAUACUGAUUUUUAUAUAUACUAUGUAAACUAGAGAUUCAGUUAAUUUUAUGUGUUUACAUAUUAACUUUGUAUCCAGACAUCUUGGUGAACUCUUUUAUUCAUCAUUUAUCAGUUGACUCUCUUGAUUUUAUGUAGAAAUUCAUAUCAUCUAACAGUGAUAGUUUUUUGUCUCUUUUCAGUGUUUGUAAUAUAUUUUUCUUAUUUUGUUGGCCAGACUGACAGCAAAAUGUUGAAUAGUAGUUACAGUAGUGUGCAUCUUUGUCUUAUUUCUGCAUUUUUGAUGUUGCACCUUGAAUUUUGUUUCUUGCUGGAAGUUCUGUUAAAGAAGUUGCUCUAUCAUCACAGCUUCCAGAGCACUGCAUUUCAAAAAUCAUGCAUGAAUAUUGAAUUUUAUCAAAUACCUUUUCUAAAUGUAUAAAAUAAUCAUAAUUAUUUUUAUUUAUUCUGUUAAUGUAUUGAAUUAUAAUGAUAGAUUUACCUAGAUAAAUUUUCUUAAUUUUAUUACUAUUCAGUAAAUAAUAUGUUUAACUUACUAUUAUUUUUAUUUUGGAAUUUGCAAACUUCUGACAUUAGUAUUCAUAAGUGGCAUGGACCUUGUUGAACCUUUCAUCCAAUUUUGAAAUUUUAUUAGACUAGCUUCUUCGAAUUAGUUGGGAAAAUUUUGUCUUUUACCGUACUUAUGUUUUUUUUCCUAUUUUUAAAAAGGAUAGGUCUUUAUUUUCUCAAUUCUGUAGUUUUUGGUUAUUGUAUCUUUCUACCUCUUCCUUAGUCAUUUUGGUAAUUUAAAUUUUCUUACAAAAAUAUUUAUUCUAGAUUUUCAAGUUUAUUUUUUAAAUUUACAUAAUGUUACUUUUAUCACUUAUAUUUUUAAAGUGUCCAUAAUUAGUGUCUAUCCCAGCACCAUAUUUAUUUCUUAGUGAACAGAUUAUUUUAUUUGUUCGUGUAUUUAUUUGUUUAUAUAAUUGUGUUUGCAAUUUACCUAUUUAGUUUUUAAAUUGUUUUAGCUACAUACAUCUGAAUCAUCUUCCUGCAUAAGGGGAAUGUUAUAAUUUUACCUUAUCUAUUACCGUGUAAUAAACUAUUCCAAAACUUAGUAACCUAAAACAACCACUCAUUUAUUUGCUCCUGAUUAUGUGAAUUAGCAAUUUGGGCUCUACAGCUCUAUGUUUGGGGCUUCACUCCAGAUCACACAAAUGUCAAAAGUUCUGCUUGUUUCCCCUUUAUCCUAUUAGAGUCACUCUAUGGUAAGCCUUCUCAGUACAUGCACAGACUCAAUAGAUACUCCUCAGGAAAAAGUAGUUGGAAAACGCAGCUUACCCAGGAGAAGCGCUUCUCUCUCUAGUAUUUUAAUUCAUGAGUUCCUCUUUGCAUCCACAAGUCUCUGAUGUUUUUAAAAAUAUAGUUUUUGUGAUUUAUCUCAUGUUUUUCCUAGUUCAAGUGGGAGUUAUGGCCUGUUACUAUCUUCUCCAUCCUGUCUGGAGGCAGAAGUGAAUUUUUAAUUUCAGAUAUAGUAUUUUUCAGUUGUAGAAUUUCUGUUUGAUUCCUUUUGAUGAUGUUGUGUCUAUGCUGAAAUUUUCCAUCUUUUCCUCUUAUUCUAAACUUAUUAAACAUAUUUAUUGUAACAUACUUGAGUAAAACUCCCACACCUGUGAGCUUGUAUUUAUUGUUGUUUUCCUUUCGUGUGACUCAUUCAUUCCUGUUUUUUAGGGUGGCUCAUAAUUUUUUACUGAAUGCUGUAUAUUGUGAUGAACAAUUGUGGAGAUUAAGCUUCUGGGAGGCAGAGUGCAAACACAAACAGAUCACCUUGAUCCUUGUAAAGGGCAAUGGAAAAUACAAUGGCAUCUAAUCAAGAAUCACAGCCAGGAAGCUAGAGUCAGAAGAAAGACCAAACUGCACCAAAGUUUCUUCUUCGUCUCCCUCCACAAAUCCAAAUGAGGACACUGAAUCCUGGGAAAGCACAGCAGUUUGGCUAAGGUCACAACAGAGUUUCUUGAAUCCCUGCCUCUUUAGAAUUUGAGGGGUAGAAGUUGUCAACUGUUAAGUGGAGAUCCUUAGGCCUGCAGUCAACAGGCUGUGACACUGAGCACCUGGGAACCAGGACUACCUGGAAAACUGACUGACCCUAAGUCUGGGGCAAUGAAGUACAAGCCUACCCAAGAACAAAGGCUCCAGGAAGACACUCCCAGAAGAGAGACAAAACGGAGUUGGGCAGGUCGAAAAUGGUGGUAUACAACAACGUCUGCUGUCUGCUGUGGGCUGAACAUGCCAUUCACUUUGAAUUCUGUGCUAUCCUUUGCCUAUAGAAGCUUGAUGCACAUGGCCCAACCUAAAACCUAUAGUAAGAGAAGAAACAUGGGUAUAGGAUGGAAAUGUCUAGAACCCAUUGCUAUCACUAUCUAUUUGCAGUUUCCACAGAGUAGGAAUCUGGAUUGCAUAGUGGUUAGCUCACUGGCUGAUAAGUGAAUUCUGGUUCUGCAAAUUUCUAUCUCUGCUCAAUAGCAAGUUUAUUAAUCUGUAAAAUGGAACUGCUUCAUAAGGUGGUGAUCAAGAGUAAUAAUGAUUAAUCAGUAAAUUGUUUUUAUUCUCCUUUUCUCAUCAAAUGUCAUCUGAUUUUUAAUUCUGUAAUGACUCUCCCUUUUUUUGUAAACAACUUUUUUUUUCCAUUAAGCGCCUCAGGAGUCCUAGUUGCAUUUGCCUUUUGUCCUUGGUUCUGUUUGCGUUGGGCUGAUUUUACCUGGCUUGUUUGGCUACUCUCGCGCUUGCAUUGUUCUUGAUAUCUCCAUUCCAGACAGCGGCCUUGAACUGUCUGCUGGGAAAAUGACACAUAGUUUGUGGUGUGAGUGAGCUGUCAAUAUAUAGAGGGGGACUUUCCUGAGUUGAUGGGUUUUAAGAAAAGGAAAAUGAAAAAAGACAGUCAACCUGACUCUACAAUCUACAUUUAACAUUCCUAUUCUUCCAAAGUCAAGGGUGGCAUCUUGUCAUCCUUUUAAGCUCACCUGGCAAUGUGCUUAUAAUAAGGCAACGGUUCUGAACAGCUGGCAUGUUCCAUUUUACAAGUGACCAAAACUUGUAAUUUUGCAUAUAGCCGUUGUUGGUAUACAUAUUUUAUCCUCACAAGUAAAUGCCAAUUGGCCAAAGGGUAUAAAUUGUCUGAUUUCAUUUCUUUUCCCCUCAUGGAACUUAGCAUGGUGCAUUGUACUUAGUUAAGUGUUCGAUGAA